UGAUCUGACGAGCUUGCUCUGAUUUGAUUUUAUCUGACAAAGAGUGGCGAACGGGUGAGUAACACGUGGGUAACCUACCUCUUAGCAGGGGAUAACAUUUGGAAACAAGUGCUAAUACCGUAUAAUACCAACAACCGCAUGGUUGUUGGUUGAAAGAUGGUUCUGCUAUCACUAAGAGAUGGACCCGCGGUGCAUUAGCUAGUUGGUAAGGUAACGGCUUACCAAGGCAAUGAUGCAUAGCCGAGUUGAGAGACUGAUCGGCCACAAUGGGACUGAGACACGGCCCAUACUCCUACGGGAGGCAGCAGUAGGGAAUCUUCCACAAUGGGCGCAAGCCUGAUGGAGCAACGCCGCGUGUGUGAUGAAGGGUUUCGGCUCGUAAAACACUGUUAUAAGAGAAGAACGGCACUGAGAGUAACUGUUCAGUGUGUGACGGUAUCUUACCAGAAAGGAACGGCUAAAUACGUGCCAGCAGCCGCGGUAAUACGUAUGUUCCAAGCGUUAUCCGGAUUUAUUGGGCGUAAAGCGAGCGCAGACGGUUAUUUAAGUCUGAAGUGAAAGCCCUCAGCUCAACUGAGGAAUGGCUUUGGAAACUGGAUGACUUGAGUGCAGUAGAGGAAAGUGGAACUCCAUGUGUAGCGGUGAAAUGCGUAGAUAUAUGGAAGAACACCAGUGGCGA
rnacentral:rRNA from 1 species